CUUUAAACUUCUGCUGCGGGGGUUCAAGCUUCCUCCGGUUAACGAGUCUCAUAUUGAAACUGUUAAGUAAGCUUAAUCUAAUUCUCAGUAUAAGAAAUGCGUUUUUAUUUUUAAAAACGUAUGCUGCAUAAUACUGUAUUAUGAAAAUUGCUGCGCAAUCGAAUAAUUUCGGCAUUUCUUUUAUUAAGCAAGAAAUAAAAUAGGACUAACGCAGUAGCUGCUGUUACUUCUCAUAAUAAAAAAGGAAUAUGUUGAUUGAUGGUAGUCAUUUUAGAAGAUACUAUUGUUACGCUAAAUUAUGUGUGAAGUUUUGAAGGUUUAAUUCAAUCUGUUGCUCACUAAUACAUUAUUGAAAAGAUUGCAUUUAAGAGCUUUAUGUGAAAGAAUGUGACCACUCUUUCAUUUGUUGAAUUCCAAAAUUGCGUUGUCACGAAUCUAAUGCCUUGCUAAUGAGAAAAGCUGAUAAAUCAUCAUAUUUUUCGCAAUAAAAUUGGCUACAAUAAGAAAGGAUUGACUUUUGAAAGAUCCACAAUCCGAACUUGCAACAUACAACAUAUCUCGAUGGAAUCGAGAAUCAUGAAAUAAUAAAUUCCCCAAUACAUCUGUUUAGAAAUUUUUAAUUAAGCUAUAAUUUUUAUUAUUUAUUAGUGCAUAUGGGUGAGUAUUGUUACUGACAUAUAAAAAGGAAUUUUAUUCUUAUGAUCCAUGCUAUAAAACAUUCUUCCAAAAAUUACAUUCAAAAUUUCCCCUUUUGAGUAACAUAAUGAAGAAACUUCAUUUUUGACAUAUAUGGACAACGACAUUUAAAUUGUGCCCAUCAUGAAAAUUUUAUUGGCAAUCUGGAAUUAAAGAGUUGUCUCGUGCUUGUGUCAUACAGAAAGAAAUGUUUCGCAAACGGAAUUUUCUCAUUGCCCACUUAAUGUAAAAGCCAUAUGCUUGCAAAUUUUGUGAUAUUUUCUCAGCUUCAGAAUUUAAAGAAACGUUUACUGGUGCAUACUGAGGAGAAAACACUUACCUGUGACAUUUGUGUCAAAGAAAUUUUUCAACGAUCACAUUUAAAAUUCCAUUUAAUGUCGCAUCUACCCUUGAACAAGGAAUACUACCCUUGUAAUUUUUGCAGCAAAAUCUUUACUGUGAUUUCCAAAUUCAAAAGACAUUUACGGACGCAUACAAAAGAGAAACUGUUUAAAUGCGAGUUUUGCAAGAAAGCCUUU